rnacentral:tRNA from 1 species
CGGGGCGUAGCUCAGCCUGGUAGAGUACUACGUUCGGGACGUAGGAGUCGCAUGUUCGAAUCAUGUCGCCCCGACCA